CAGUUUUUAACGGAAGGACAAAAAGAAGAGCAGACGGCACACAGACCGCAAUCAUGAUCAUUUUCAAGUAGAAUCUCAAACUGCCGUACAUCUUCGAAAACUUCGUUAGUCGUAAGGGAUCAAAGGAUGAUGUCCGUGCUGCGGAAAAUAGAUGAGAAGCGGCUAUUUCAACAACCACCGUGUGUAUUCUGUGCGGCUAAAGCAGUCACCUAAUGAAUUAUUGAGUACCAGGAAUGUUAGCGGUAAACAGGAUUGCGGCUAUGAAUGAUUCUCUAAUGUCUAUAUUAGAGAUGAAUUUGAUAAUUUAUCCUCAUAAUAUGCAAUCCGCUUUUAAGUGGAAAUCAUAAUUAACAAUUUCUGUUUGAUUAAAUAUGAAGAGCAGAUGAAUCGAUACGCUUAAAUCAAUAUUAGAAUUUCUUAACAUUUUUAUCAAAUAUUUUAGCACUGUAAAAGCGUCGUAGUAGAGAAAUAUUAGAUUGUUCCAAAAGUUUCUUUCGUUUUAUAAGAAAGUAAUAGAUGUACAACAUUUUUCGUUUUAUAUUAUUUUAUUGAAUUACGUGUGAUCCACCUUUUUCCAAUUUAAUGUAAAAUAAUAUAGAAUAACAUAAAACAAAAUAUGUUGUGCAUCUGUCAUUUCUUUAUAAAACGAAAGAAACUUGGGACAACCUAAUAGGAAUUUACUUUUAUUAUCCAUUAUAAAAAUGGAUUGUUAAUCCUCUAGGAGAUACGAACAAUAUAAUUGCAAUUAAUAAGGAAUAAGCUAGCAUAACUUAAACCAGCUUUUGCAGAAAGCUAUUAGCUAAAGAUGUUUAUUAAACAAUGACAACAUGAAUUUUCUUAAGUACCCCAUUUGGUACUUAAUCUACUUCGUAAGUACUGUGUGUCCUAGCCUUCAAAGGAUGCAAUUUUAACCAGAAUGUUUCACAUUACUUACCCGUAUUAUUUCCUUGUAAUAUAAUUUAUAUUUACAUUAUCUACGUUACGUUACAUUCUACGCGUUAAUGUAAUGUGAUUUUUAUUUCUAAUCGAAGUUAUUCAAACUUUGUAGUAUCUCAAUAAAAAAUUAACAGCCUGCAAAAACUUCACAGAAGCAUUAGUUUCUUCGAAACUAUUGAAUUCAAAUGGCUAAUAUUCCUUAACAAUAUGCACUCGACGACGUUUAUCGAGAGAAGUAUGUGGCGUAAUAGUUAAACUUUCAAUUCAUAUACAUAUAUCGUUUAUGAAAAAGUAGUCAUUCUGCUUUUGUCAUCUGUGACACACUAUAAAUUCUCAUAAGCUAACCAACGCGUAAUCUUCUGUAACGUAUUAAUAUAAUAUAGGUAUGUAUAUCUCGACUUUGAGCAACCAAUUGGUGCUAAAUAAGCUUUAGUACAUACUUCUUACACGUAACAAAAGACCAGUUAACAUCUCUGCUCUUAAAAGAAAAACGAAAGAAGCUCUGAAAAGCUGCAGAGUUCAGGUCGAAUAACACCAGCUCAGAUAAAUGACCCUCUAACUUACCUUUGUCCUCAUCGACGUCAGUGAUUUUAAAGCUAGUUAUAAAGUGCACUUCUCAGCCAGCGUCCACGGCAGUCAAUAUUAUUUAACGGGUCUUAACGCGAUGUAAAAAGGGAAAAAGGAGGAAAGAAGGAACAGGGAAGCAAAGAGAAGAAACGAAUUUUUCAUUUUCUCGAAACUGGAUCAAGUUUCAGGCUGCUCGCCAAAGAGUCUGUAGCUAACGAGACAAGAUUAGACAAAUCACGCUUUAAAAUUGCCACAGAACUAUAAUAAUUCUCGAAAUCAAUACGAUUCGUCGAUCCAUCGCCUGAUUAAAAAAUGAGAUAGGAUGAAGCUCACUAGUCGGCCUUUGAACUUUCAAUAGCGCUUACGGCUCGUAUACUCUAGUUUGAAUGCUACAAUGUAAGCCAAGUCAGCUGUAACUAGCGUUCGCGUGAUUGUCGCUAUCUAUUAUUCACGCGUUACACGUUCACCAGACAAACGCGUCUACCGGUUGACAUUGUUUUCUGUCCUGAGUUUCAAAGCAAUUAUGUUGCUUCGUGUAAUCAAAUCUCGCCAAACUAACGAUAAGUUCUUGUUUGACCUUACACAGUUAUUAAAACUAUACAAGUUAAACCAAUCUAGCCUAAACAAGUAAUGUCGUUAUAUAUUCUUUUUUAAAUCUAUAUAUUGUUUAAUAAAUCGUGGUUAGGAUAUAGUAGCUGACAAAAAUAUUCGGAUAAAUAUAUUUGUAGAAACAUUUUAGGAGUGUAUUAUGCAUAGUGGCACUAUUUAAUACUGUACUGUGACUAUCAUGGUCGUGUUGGUAUUAUUCGAAACUAAUCUGAAAAUCUGUAUGGAAUUUGUAAGAUAUUUAGUACGAGUACUGUGCAUUACUGAUAUGUACACAACCGAGACGAGAUAACGAAGGUACUGCUCUCCAUCGUUCAUCGCUACGCGUUGCUAAUAGCAACGUAUAAUGCAUAUAUAUCUCGCAAAGACCAUAAAAGUACCCAAUGGAACCACGUUUAAUAUUUGAUAAUAAUGUCCCAUUACAGUUUCGUCAUUUUCAAUUAAUUAAACACGACCCUCUCUUUAAAAAUUAGAAGAUAAAAUACGUAAUACAAAUCUACUCGAAAUCUUUUAAACCUUACGGACGACCUUACGGACCUUACUUAUGGUCUUUAAAAGCAGCAGGGAUUAGCAGAAUAUUAACUGCGAAUUUUUCUUGGACCGCAGCAUGCAAUAUGAAAUAUGGUUAUUAAAAUGUACACUGAAAAUUUCAUAUCCAUAAGAUACUCGUGCUUGUAGAACCUUGAAAAUGAAUUCUUAACCCAAAUAGUCGACCGCGAUACUCGAGAAAUUUUGUGAAGCUGACGUCAAUACCAAUAUGUACCGUCGUUGUGCUAUUAUUUCGUGAUAAACCGUAUUGAUUGCACUUCCAUUUCACGGAAUUAAUUUUUCCACACAAAAAGUGAUAACGAUAAUCGAAAAAAGAAAAAUAUACUACCACAUUUCGUAUCAGCAUACACAAGCGCACUCGAUUUUACACGAGUAUACAAUUUGCAAAUUCGACGGAACGAUCGGAUUUAAUUAUUUUUUCGAUAUUUCAGGCAUCAAGUUCUAUUUACACAUCGAACGUUGAAAUACGGCGAAAUACAAAAUGUACAAACCACUCUGGACAUUAAUUAACUUUAAACGUUAUUGAUUAAUUAAAGAAACCAACCAUUGUGUUGAUUUUUACAUUUUGAAAAAUUGUUAUCCACUUUUGCUUUGUUUAAAAAUUGAAAAAAAAUACUUUUAUUGUAAGUCACGAGUAUCUCUUUUAUUUAUUUAAACUUUAGAUCAAAUAUUACAAUUUAUAAAUAUAUCAUUUAUUUAGAUAUACUUGUAAUAUCUGUUUUAUAAGUUUGUACAACCAUUUAUCUAUUUAUCUAUUUUAUUUGCACAUAAUCUUUAUAGACUGAUUUUGUAAAGAAUAAAAAAUUGUGAUUCUAUUUAAAAACGAUCGUGUCAGACUCAAGUGAUAAGCGAUAUAUAUUUCAGCGAUAUAUAUAUAUUCAGAUUUCACCAUCACAUAAACGGUGCUAUUGGAAACGUUUCACAAUAGACGUCUUAUAAACGCCUGCGAUGUCCGUCAUAUGUAAAGCUAUACCACUGAAUCACGGCCGCCAUUUAGUGAUUAAGGUCGAUCACUUAGAGUUGUUUAUCCGACAUAAUGGCGAGCAAUACAUUGAAGACAUUAUUGGAAACACAGUUACAGUUUAAUUUCAUUGAGCUUAUUUGCAAAUAAAUGUGUACAAUAUAUUUUAGAGGUUUUAAAUAUUAUUGCUGACUAAACUUCGCAUCUACGCAUCAUCUUUCUUUAACUUUUUUUGCAUUUUCUUAUCGACGCAUGAAGACGAAAUGCGUAAAUUUUAUUAUUUAUUUAAACAUUACUAUAUUGUGCUCAAAGUAGCGGAAUAUCGUUCUAUUAUCAAUAUAUGAAGAACUAAAAGAAUUAAAAAAAUAUGUAGUUCAAUCAAUACUUCGUGUAUUUUUCUAUCUCCACAAGACAAUAUCCGGACCAGUUACGCUUACAGUAUCAACAAAGAUUUGUCCAGCCAUACGGAAUAAGUCGUACUCAGUAGUUUAAAAGUAUUAACCGCACGAACUCCAGAAACACUUUUGAAGUAACUUUCGAACCAAUAAAUCCCCGAACUAAGAACUGUCAUAUUUCGUCUCUAUUUAUCGAAUAUUGUGAGAAAAUGCAAAAAAAAGAAGUUAAAUAGAAAAAGUACUUGGAAACUUAAAAGAAAAAAUCUCGAAAAAUCUCUUAAUACUUUUUACUGUCGUCUUGAGACGCACCAUGUGUUAAGCUUCUUCGUAGUUACAACUUUUACCGCAGGUGUAACGAACUGACAAAUGCUUCGAAUGGCGCGCGCGCGUCAACGCCUACACUUAAAUUUUAAAUAAAUGUUUUUAAAUAAAUGUUUAAAAUAAUACAUUAAAUGUAUUAACUUUCUUGCGCAAUUUCAUUUAAUUUCUUACGAUAUGGAGGGUUUAAUUACGUUUAAGAUAUCUAUUUGAAUCUUUUAAAUUCGAAGUUUUUUAAAAAAUUACCUUAAACUUUGUAAAAUUAAAUCGUUUUUCCACUUUGUUGUAUCAUAAAAUAGUUAUUUAAAUUCAAACCUUACCGUCGUCUUGAAAUAUUCUAUAUUUUCCUCGUCUUAAAAAAUCUCCCUACAGAAAGAAUAAAGAAGAAUAAAAUCCCAUACGUUAAAUUUCACGUGAUUGAUGGAAUACAUAACGAUAACGAGAACUAACUAGCGACAACAAGCAACCAUUAGCAAGGACAACUGGCGACUAUAACUGUCGUCUCUAUGAUGUAUGGCGACUAAGGAGAACA